rnacentral:rRNA from 1 species
GAUGAACGCUAGCUACAGGCUUAACACAUGCAAGUCGAGGGGAAACGGCAUUGAGUGCUUGCACUCUUUGGACGUCGACCGGCGCACGGGUGAGUAACGCGUAUCCAACCUUCCCAUUACUGUGGGAUAACCUGCCGAAAGGCAGACUAAUACCGCAUAGUCUUCGAUGACGGCAUCAGAUUUGAAGUAAAGAUUUAUCGGUAAUGGAUGGGGAUGCGUCUGAUUAGCUUGUCGGCGGGGUAACGGCCCACCAAGGCUACGAUCAGUAGGGGUUCUGAGAGGAAGGUCCCCCACAUUGGAACUGAGACACGGUCCAAACUCCUACGGGAGGCAGCAGUGAGGAAUAUUGGUCAAUGGACGGAAGUCUGAACCAGCCAAGUAGCGUGCAGGAUGACGGCCCUAUGGGUUGUAAACUGCUUUUGGAUGGGGAUAAAGUUAGGGACGUGUCCCUAUUUGCAGGUACCAUACGAAUAAGGACCGGCUAAUUCCGUG